UUGCUUAGGCAGCACCUAUACUAAAACUGGAACGACACAAAAGAUGAUUAGCAUGGUCCCUGAGCAAGACUGACAGGUAAAUUUGUGAAGGGUUCCAUAUAGAA